CUGCUUCCGUUCGCUGCACAGAUGCCACGUCACGUCGAGAGGCGGGACGGUAGGGAAGUUGGACUUCCUUGCCGCGAGAGCCGGUGAGUCCUUGGGAGAGAUGGUGACCUCCUCCGAAGGAGGAAGAGGAGGCGGGGGAGGAGGACGCGCAGCUGCUGUUGUUGUGGUGGCGGUGGCGGUGGAGACGUCGGAGCGAUCGGCAAGGGAGAAGUAGUAAGGGAGCUCGACGGUCUUGCCGC
rnacentral:lncRNA from 1 species